UAGGGUUUAUUGGAAUUACUGGGGGUAAAGCGAGCGCCGGCGGAAUGAUAAGUUUGAUGUGAAAGUCCCCGGGUCAACCGUGGAAAUGCAUUGGAAAAUGUCCUUGUUGAGUGCAGAAGAGGAGAGUGGAAAUCCAUGUGUAGCGGUGGAAUGCGUAGAUAAUUGGAAGAACACCAGUGGGCAAGGCGGCUCUCUGGUCUGCAACUGACGCUGAGGCUCGAAAGCAUGGGUAGCGAACAGGAUUAGAUACCCUGGUAGUCCAUGCCGUAAACGAUGACCAAUAGGUGUUGGGGACUUUCCGGUCCUCCUUGCCGAACCAAACCCUUUAAUCGCUCCCCCGGGGAAUUACGACCGCAGGGUUGAACCUCAAUGGAUUUGACGGGGGCCCCCCCAACCGGGGAACCAGGUGGUUUAUUUCAAU
rnacentral:rRNA from 1 species